CUAGGUAACAUGAUAAUACCAUCUGGAAGAAAUAUAUGGUCUGUGUGCAGUCCAGUUCUAUCGGAAUGACUUCUGGAAUUUUAACUAGAUAAUGGCAAUUCUAACUGUUAAAGUAGUUUUUGCUUUAUUAUGAACGUAAAAUUAGUUUUUGGGGAUAAAUUUAAGACUUCUGAAAAUUGUCAUGGUUGAAUUGUUUUGGGAAGAUUCAAGAUUGUAAACUUAUAAAGGAUUUCAUUGGCAUACAAUAGGUCCUGAGAAAGAGAUAGAGAGGAUUUACAUAUAUGUCAAAUUUGUGCAUGACGUAGAGUUUCAAGCAUAUCUGAGAAAAUGAGAAAUUGCUAAAUCGGUAUCCCCUUCUGCAUACCUAGUCCAGCUUUUUAAUCUUCUACAGCUUAUAUUUUACAUUUUACUGCUUGAGUAAAAUGGCACAAAGAAAGCAAGGUAUGAUUGCUUUGUUUGAUGUUGAAGGCACGCUUACUCCUGCAAGAAAGAAUUUUGUCAAUGUCCAACCUGGGAAUCACCAUUUUCGGCAAUGAAAGAUUUCUACCAGAUUUCUCAGUUGGGCAUAAACGAAGGAAAGAUUUGUGAAGACACUUUUCAGAGGUAUUUGUUAUAUUUCAGAAUCAGAUUUCAUUUGGCUGUUUUAUUGGUUUGCAGAGAAUUUAGUAUUGUUUAGGAAUAUUAUUUUAUCGUACAACUGUACAAAUGAAAUAUUCAAAGGUUGAUAUUUAAUAUAUUAUUUAUCGGAGGAAUUUGUGAUAAAACUAGCCCUUCUAUUCCCAAAGAUCGAUUUGGUUCAGACUUUUGAGGUUUUAAUAUUUUCUAUAGGGAAUAGUACACGAAACGGGAAAAUGGUAAUAUUGGUAAACUAUGUGUGGCUUAUAUUUUGACUUGGUGAAAAAUUAUUGAGAAGACCUGAUUUAUUAAUGUUGGAUCAUGAAUACUAUUAAUUUGGCAAAAUAUUAUAGAGGUAUAGAAUAUCGGCCCCACAUUUGAUACAAUGUGGAGAUUUUUUUAUUUAUUGAAUUAAUGCAGAAAAGAAAGAUUACAAAGAAGAUGAGUAGUACAAAGACUGCCAAGUUAAAAGAAGAAGAUCAACUAUAACAGCCAUACAUAGAACAAAGUUUUCAACCAUACAAGAACUGAAAUAACUGUUGUGUAACAUAGAACUGUCAAUGUUUCCAACCAUACCACUGCUGUACAAACAAAAGAUAGCCAUACUUAGGCCAACAGAACUACAAGCCAUUCAGUAACAUAAAUUUGCAGCUAUACAUUAAAUUUAAAAAAACUUUGAAGUUGCCUGGAGCAAGUGAGAUCUCCUUUUUGAUGCUAAAGAAUUUGGAGCUUGAUGUAGUCCAAGAAGUAACCAAGUGUGCUGUUGUUCUUGGAGAUCCCCUGUAGUUGACAACAAAGAGAGGCAAUUUGAAACAAUAUAUUAGAGUAAAACAUUAAAAUCUGGGUUCCUUGGUGAACUGGCUGCUUUGAAAACAUUGACAUACACCUGCAUUUCCAUAUAUCAAGAAGAACAAACUGUCAGCUACCACAUUAUUACAAAGACCAACACCCAACAAUGCCUUUUCCCAACUCAAUGAGAGAUUAAAAAUGACAGGAAAAUGCUUGAAAAUAAUAUUCCAUUUUGCACUUGCUAUGGGGCAGUCCCAAAAUAUGUGUUUUAAGUUCUCAUUAUGCUGACAAAAGGAACAUUUAACUGAUUGGAUCACAAAUUUCAAUUUAUCCCCAACUGGUAAUUUGUAAUGAAGAACUUUCCAAGAUAAAAUUUGAGCAUUAGCUUCUGCUUUAGACUUCCAGAUUUGCCCACUCAAAGUCUUCCACUUUCUUUCACUGAACUUGCACCUCCAAUUUAUGUUCAAUCUAGGAUUGAGUGAUGGCCCAGAAGUAGUUUUAAGUAGAUUUUUUUAAGAGGAUAGCAAGCAAAAGAAUAUUUAGACAGCCAUAGCCAGUCUCUAAUGAAAUUACACGGGAAGGGGGUACAUAGUUUCAUUGCAAGCUCAGUUGGUACCAAUGAUUUCACAAAAAAUAGAAAUCUCUCAGACAAGGUAUUUAAAUUAAAUUUGUGUUUCAACUUGUGCCGAGAAGUCCAUUCAAAGGAAUUAAAAUCCCAAAUGUCACCAAACUGAUGUACUCCUUUCUUUAAACAAUACAAAGCAUAUCUAGGAAAGGCAAUAGCAAGGGGUAAACCGUGGUAUUGUACCAACCAAUUCCACCAUAUAGAAGAGUUUUCAAAACUGAACCCAUGUUACCAGGAGGCAUCUUUCCAGCAUAAAAACUUACUAGUAAGCUGCCAAGCCUUCCAUAUAGAUUGAAGAGGAAAUGAAGCCUUUAUAUAGAAGAAAGGAGCAAGUAAAAUUUUAUCAAUAUACCCAACAUUUUGCCAUUUCUUAUUGGUAGUAGCAAGGAUAAUGUGGUGACGAAUAAGUUUUUUCCAUGGUUCAUCACUAGACAUGAUUCUAACAAUCCAUUUAGCAGAUAGUUCUAUUCCUUGCGUCUUGGGAUCCAAGAGACCCAAACCACCUUUAGUUUUUGGUUGAAUAUAGUACGACCAGGAGGCAGAUUUAUAGCCAACUUUGCCUUCAUACCCCUUUUUAGAAGGCAUCCUGCAGGAUGAAUAGUAGACAUGAGAGGCCAAGAAGAUCUAAUUUACAACUUGAAUUUUACUAGCAAGAGAUAAGAAUUCAUUACCCCAAGUCCACAAUCUAUUUUUCAACUUAGAGAUGAAUCAGUUCCACAUGUUAGAAAGAGAAAUUCCCAAACCAAAUGGGAUUCCUAAGUGUCGAGUAAUUUGUCCAUGUUUGAUGUGAAUCCAAUAUUUGGGAAUCUAUUGUGGCACUGGAUUGGACUUAAUCAUAAAAAAAUCAGUCUUAUGAUGAGAUAAUUUUGAACCUGAGACUGAGUAGUAUAAAUUUAAAACUUCCAGAACAUUAUUAGUUUCCUGUUUCGAGUUUUGCAAGAAUAACAAACUGUCAUUUGCAAAGUGGGAGUUAAGCACAACAACAUUGUUUGGAAUGGAAAUUCCUUUAAUCAAGUUCAUUUGAUUGUAUUUAUCUUUAAGGUAACCAAGUGCAUCAGUGGUAAGAACUUAUAGGAAAGGUGCUAAUAGAAUGUUGCAAAGAAAAUGACCCUGAUAAGGAAUUAUUAAUAACCAAUUGAGCAUUGGCCUCAUUCAAAAACAUCUUAACAUGUGAACAAAUCUUAGGUCUGAAUUCCAACCAAUGAAGCAUCUUAAGAAUGAAGCUCCAAUGCAUUCUAUCGUGUACUUUGUCAAAAUCAAGCUUUACUAACAAUGCAUCUUAUCUUGUUUGUUGAGCCCAUUCACUGGUUUCCCAAGCUAACAUUAAAUUAUCAAGGGUAAAUUUGCCACUAAUAAAGUCUGUUUGUUCUGGUCUAAAAAUCUCCUUAACAAAUUGGUUUAAUCCUUGUAGCAAGAGGUUUAGCAAUAAUUUUAUAUGCAGUAUUUAGAAGAGUUACAGGUCUCCAUCCAUAGAUAAAUUCUUCAUUUUUCUCUUCAAGAAGCAGUUUAAUCAGACCUUUAUUAAUAGCAGGUCCAAGAGAGAUCCUUGUUCCACAAACUCCAAAUAGAGCAAGUGAAAAUUGUCCUUGAUAUGAGCCCACAUGGUUUGAUAAAACUCUCGGUUGGGAGACCAUCUCUCAAUCAAAUCUAGGACUUCUAUAUAGAGCCAUGGAGAACACAACAUGUUCAAGAUCUUCCAUAGAAAGCAUUUGGUCUAAGAAUCGGCUAUAUUCAGAAUCAUUCUUCAUGGGAAUGUGAUCCUUGAAGAUGUCUUCCAAUAUAGAUUGAGCAUCUUGCCAAUGAUCAUCCUCUCUAAAGAGAUUCUCAUAGAACUGCUGAAACAUAAAUUUUAUCAAAUAGAGAUAGAACUGUUGAAACAUAAAUUUUAUCAAACAGAGAUAGAACUGUUGAAACAUAAAUUUUAUCAAACAGAGAUAUAUUUAUUGGUUGCUAAUGUUUGAACUUUGAAGUUGUCUUCAGCAAUAUUCGUAUACUUUGUUGUUGACAUCAAUAUGUUUGGGAAUGUUAAAUGUUGAAUCGCAUUGACAAAGGCAAUGAAAUAUAGGGUAGAGGCAAUGGUUGGGUGAGACCUCCAGUCUUGGAGUGGUUCUUUCUGAAUAACAAACCCUAAAGAUUAAUUAUAUUGUCCUGUAUAUAUUGUGCGAUAACAGAAGAGUAAUAUUCUCCUCUACUUUGGCAUAGUGAGAAGUGACGGGAACAAGGCAUUUUCAUAUCUAGCAAUAUAUAAGACACAUAGCUCUCCGUUCAAUGCCCAAGUUGGAUCGUAAAUGCUAAUUUACUGAGUCCCGAUAAAGCAAGCCUUACGGAUUAGUAAUUCCAACGGAAAUACUAUUGUAGCGAAAGUGUAUGAGGUAGCAGACUAACGGCUUUUAGUCAUUCUUUAAUUCACUACGAACAACUUUGCUACGGAGUCAAUGUUAUCGUGAUCGAGCAAUGCAUUUCAUGAAGUAUCAGAGUGGAUUUUUAUCUCAUCUUCAUCAAUAUUUGAUUGAUGUUCAUAUUAUUGCUCCUUAAUUUAUGGUGUUGGGCUUCAUGUCCUGAUGCGUGGGAGAUUAUUGGGAGACUUUUGAAUAUUCUCUGCGGAAGGAGUGCCUAUGGUAGAAUAUCAACAGGUUUUUCAGAUCGAGAGCUUCUCUAUCGUGUGUAUCAACUCUUAUCGUGUGACUGGAACAGAGUUUACGUCAUCCACAUAACAAUAUCAGGUAACCUCUACUGGGGUUUGAGCACACAACAUAUUUGUGAUUUCACGAUUCCAGUUUGAAUAGAAUUUCAUCUGAACUAAAUAAGUUGUCAAAGAAACUGGAAACAUCAAACUGUUAUAUCAUCUUGUAUUAUCAUGCAUAGAUAGUUUGAUUCUGCAAUAUAUACACAUUGAAUUCACUGAAGAAUGUAAUAUGGAACAAUACUUGAACGUUGUUAACGGCCAAUUGGAAUUCUAUUAUCA